rnacentral:rRNA from 1 species
AAUAGGGGAGCCGGAGGGAAACCGAGUCUUAAUUGGGCGUUAAGUUGCAGGGUAUAGACCCGAAACCCGGUGAUCUAGCCAUGGGCAGGUUGAAGGUUGGGUAACACUAACUGGAGGACCGAACCGACUAAUGUUGAAAAAUUAGCGGAUGACCUGUGGCUGGGGGUGAAAGGCCAAUCAAACCGGGAGAUAGCUGGUUCUCCCCGAAAGCUAUUUAGGUAGCGCCUCGUGAAUUCAUCUCCGGGGGUAGAGCACUGUUUCGGCUAGGGGGCCAUCCCGGCUUACCAACCCGAUGCAAACUGCGAAUACCGGAGAAUGUUAUCACGGGAGACACACGGCGGGUGCUAACGUCCGUCGUGAAGAGGGAAACAACCCAGACCGCCAGCUAAGGUCCCAAAGUCAUGGUUAAGUGGGAAACGAUGUGGGAAGGCCCAGACAGCCAGGAUGUUGGCUUAGAAGCAGCCAUCAUUUAAAGAAAGCGUAAUAGCUCACUGGUCGAGUCGGCCUGCGCGGAAGAUGUAACGGGGCUAAACCAUGCACCGAA